UAAUGGGUUGAGCCGGCAGGAAAUCCAACAAUCUUCCUCUCUCCUUUUCUUUCUUGUGAAAGGAAUCAUCACAUUUAUAUUUUAUUUAUGGAGGAUCACAAUCCUAACAAAAAUAAAUCGGUAGUGAUUUUUGUUCAAAAAGGAUGAGAUUGCACGGCAGCCCAAGUUUUGAAGGAAAAAAAAUCGGAGAUUUUUGGUUUCCAGACGAGAUUGUGCCGGCCUUUUAUAGAAACAUGCCUAGAGCCGUUAGAAAUACGGAUACUAUGUUCACUUGAUCCGUGGAAGACUUGCUUUUCUUUAUGUAUAAGGGGUCGAAGGAAUCUUUGUGCACCAUCUUUUGUCAGGGUUGUGAUUCUCCAUAGAUAAAAUGGAAAUGGUAACAGUCGGUAACAGGAUCUUGUAUGUCUUGAGUUCUUCCCGCCGAUUAUGGUAAGAAAUUAUGUGUCGCUGGUUCCCAAUUUGAUUUUAUAUUUUCUGUUAACUUUUCCCCCCUUCAGUAUCCAAACCCUAGAUCUGUUUAUUCUUUUUCAAGAAUCGGAUCCGAAUGUUUUGCAAUUCCAAAUCUGGUUUUCAAAGGUAAGCAGGGUGUAUGAAGACAAAUCUCGAAUUUGAUUUUAAAGGCUUGUCUGCAUUUACCUUGGUUCAGUUCAUAGGUGCUGAGAGCUGAUGCGUUUCAACGCGAAACUGGAGAAGGUUGAUAAGGGGAAGCCGAAGAAUUCGCUGGCUCAGCUUCCUUUGUUUUAUUGAAUAGCAAUUCGAUCUACAUGCUUCUUCCUUCAUUUCGUUAAUUGUUUUUCUUGCUAACGCACAUGAAUAGAUCACUGCGCGUCUUUAGUUUCCUAGGAAGCAAAGGACGUAGCGGGUAUCAUUGGCUUUUGGAUUGUGUUUCAUUUCAGGUUCAUACAACAUUAUGCUGCUCCUUGUGAGUUGCCUUGGCUUGCUUUCCGUGGUUAAGGGUGCACUUGAAAUUUAGAGUUAAAUUGCUUUGCUUGUAACUUUGCAGCAAACUCUGCAACUUCUUCCUGUUAACUUGUGAUCGAAUAUAAUAUGUUUCAUUGGUUAGGAUCUGAAACGUUGGCUAAUUGCACCUGGAUGUUUAAUUUAAUAAAUGAAAUUAGGUGUUGCUUGGCAUGACUUCAGGCUAGCUUAGUGAAGUUUCCUCGAACUAAUUAGGCCACUUUAGGUUGUUGGCUUUUGGCAUAAUGCACCCCUAGACAAAUGUAGCGGAAAUUAGGUUUGAAAAAUUGCCCUCACUUCACACUCGGCAGUAGCAAGAUCGAUGCCUUAUUACUGUAUUGAGGUAUUCAUCUAAAACGAAUUGGCCUCUUAUGAUAGAGGGCAGAACAGAGAGCCAACAGCUUAGGUUUCGACCAUGUUUGGUUGGACGUGGAAGAAAGGAAACACAAAGAAAGAUAUAAAAAUUAAAAAUGAUCCUUUUGGCCCUCGAUAAAUAGAGAGAGGAGGGAGUUUCUGGGAAGUACUUGGCUUUGAUGGCUGCAAUUUAUUUUUGGUUAUUGGAUUGAAAAACCCUGAAAUACACGAAGCAGUUAAAGAAACAUCAAUAACUAAAGGAGUAAUGUGUUUUGUGGACCAUAAUUUGCAUGUUGAUGGUUAAUUUGUGCUUGUAGUCAAACUUACACCUAGGUUGAGUUUGUCAGAUUUGGUUGCCCCACCGCUGAUUAAAGGCAAGGAUGCUACAGACAAGAGACAAAAAA